AACCAAACCUUCACCUGCACACAGAGAGAGAGGGAGACAGGUGUGUGUUAAUGCAGGUGAGGUCACAUACGACACCUCCUCCUCUGCACACUUACUCUCAUAAAUAAUCGUGGAUGAUUCACAUCGUUUCACUGGCGUCAGGACUCGUAUCGCCGUGGCGACCUGAUGACAAACACUGUCAAUCACUCCUGAGAAAAGGCGGAGGGAGCGAUUCAGAGCUGACUAACCGUCGGUUCACCCCCCCCCCAUCAUUCCUCUGAUCUGGAUCACAGCCAGCUGCCGUCAGAGCACACCUGAGCACCACGAGGAGGGAAACCUGUUCACACUGAAAGCCGUGAUGUUUCAGACAGCAGCUGUCUGUUACUGAGCAAGGCACCGGCAGAGUGUGUGGUUAAAUUCCCGUCUGGUCUGAUGUUACUUUUAAAAAGGUCCAGCGUGCAGGAGAAACUACGGUGGCCGCGAAAGGCCCUCUCUAGAGCCGGUGUGUGGUUUGUCCGUUCUGGGCUACUGUAGAAACAUGGCGGCCUCCGUGGAAGGGGACCCGCUCCCUCUGUAGAUAUAAAGGCUGAUUCUAAGGUAACGAAAACACGACGGCUCUGAUUUUCAGGUGAUUAAACACUGAUACUUAUUAUUGUGUGUCAGAAGUUCUGUUUAUUUCACUAUUUUAUUUAGUAAAAUUCCUACUGAAAGAAUUCUUAAUAUUUUAAAUACUGCAUUUCUGAAUUUGUCAUUCAUUCAUAUAUUAGUUCUGGAAAAAAAGAUUAUGUUUUGUUUAAAAACUAUCUAAUCAAUCAAUCAUUAAUUUAAUCAUUUAUACAUUUAAUUUAUUUUAAAUGCUGCGUUUCUGAAUGUAUUUGUCGUUCAUUCAUUCAUUCAUUCAUAUGUCCUGGAAGAAAUUAUGUUUCGUUGAAUUGUAUUUAUAUUAAUAUACUGUAUAUAAUCAAUUAUUCAUUCAUUCAUUCAUAUUUUCUGGGAGAAAUUGUCAUUUUUUUUGUUUAGUUACUUUCUGGACAUUUUUAUUCAUUCAUAUGUUAAGGAAAUUGACAUGUUUAACUAUUUUUUCUGGACAGUUUUUCAUUCAUUCACCCAUAUUUACUGUCAGAAACGGUCAUGUUUUGUUUAGCUACUGUUAUUAAACUCUGAUAAUCGGU